UUAGAUCCAAUCAAGUCUAGAUCGGACGAUGGGGUUCCCACAUAUCUGAUCCCACACCAAAAAUCAUGUGAUUUGGAGACCUCUAGCAUAUGCAUCUAGUGGUUAAAAACAUUAAUUGUUUUGUUACUUAAAUUGUCUUAUUUUUUGACCACUUGAUACAUAGGCUAAAGAGCUCCAAAUCAUAUAAUUUUUCGUGUGCAAGUAGAUUAGAGAUAGUAGAUCACAUCCAACAUCUCAAAUCAUCAAUGUAACACUAUUAUCAUCUAAUCUAGGCCUAACCAGAUCUAAGUGGAGAUCCACUCGAGCGUAGCCAAG
rnacentral:lncRNA from 1 species